ensembl:lncRNA
AAACGACAGUGUUACCCCUUAUGUUUUUUUUCAAGACGACCCAUAAAAAACGACAGUGUUACCCCUCAUGUUUUUUUUCAAGACGACCCAUAAAAAACGACAGUGUUACCCCUUAUGGUUUUUUUCAAGACGACCCAUAAAAAACGACAGUGUUACCCCUUAUGUUCUUUUUCAUUAUGACCAAUAAAAAACAAGAGUGUUACACCUUACGUUUUUUUUCAUGACGACCAAUAAAAAACAACAGUGUUACCCCCUUAUGUUUUUUUCAUGACGACCAUUAUAAAAACGACAGUGUUACCCCUUAUGGUUUUUCCAUGACGAUCGAUAAAAAACGACAGCGUUACCCCUUAUGUUUUUUUCCAUGACGACCGAUAAAAAACGACAGUGUUACCC